AAAUAUGUAGUACAAGACCAUUGUGGCCUAUGAGUACAACACUUGGUUUCUAGUGGUUGAUGGCGGAAGCGGUUUGGGGUUCAUCUGCGUCUAUGGGACUCCAUUUCCCACAAGAACAGCUGACCAGGAUAACUCCUAUCUUCGCGAGGCUGCUAUCACCUUUACAUAGGUUCCGGGGCUGUCGUCGUAACGCUCUUCUCCACGCAAGAAAUCUGGCCAAGACAAUAGCCAGGGACAAGCCAGUGAGUAUGUUUGAAUGUACUCGCAAACAUUUAGAACACGGCUAUAAUAUAACAAGGGGUAAUCAUGCUCCGAAAAUAUUCUAUGACCAUAACGUUAGUCACGAGAUAAACAAAAUUCAUGAUGCACGCAUGCAAGUUAUUCAUGUAAAAUGCAUUACGGGAGUAGACAUAGAAUGCAUCGAUCGAGUGUCUGAAGCGACGCCUCGAAAGGAAAAAAAAUCAUGCCUCAGUCGGGCGUCUGAGCGACACCACAUAAAGGGCUUAUAAAUAAAAGAAAUAACAAGCAUGCCACAGUCGGGCGUCUAUGCGACACCACAUAAAGGGCUUAUAAAUAAAAGAAAUAACAAGCAUGCCACAGUCGGGCGUCUAUGCGACACCACAUAAAGGGCUUAUAAAUAAAAGAAAUAACAAGCAUGCCACAGUCGGGCGUCUAUGCGACACCACAUAAAGGGCUUAUAAAUAAAAGAAAUAACAAGCAUGCCACAGUCGGGCGUCUAUGCGACACCACAUAAAGGACUUAUAAAUAAAAGAAAUAACAAGCAUGCCACAGUCGGGCGUCUAUGCGACACCACAUAAAGGGCUUAUAAAGGAUAAUUAAAUAACAAGCAUGCCGCAGUCGGGCGUCUGAGCGACACCACAUAAAGGGCUUAUAAAGGAUAAUCACAGUGAAUAUCCAGGAGGUAGAACCGUCCCAGGGAUACUCAAUAAUUCAAAUAAUGCAAAUGGUUAGUCCAUAAUAAUAGUAAUCAUAAUCGUCACAUGUCACAAGUCAUAAUCCAAGUUCUGGUUUAACAGUUUUUCCUCCGAAGACCGACACUAAGACCGACACUUGACCCAUCCCAAACUGUAGUCCUUAACCAUGGACACGGCUAUUCGAAUAGAGGUAUAAUCUCUGCAGAGGGUGUACUCUUUACCCACGGGUAACGGAUUUCUUUAGUCCGUCGGCACUAAUUCCGUCUACGGUCUUUUAAUUGAAAACACGCCUGACCUGCACACACCAGCUUAACUUACCGGUGUCUGGAAUCACCCACGACACCUGUCAAGCGAAACUCUAAGUGGGGAGGCUACAACCUCGACGUAGCAUGGGAUCACAAAAUUUAUACCGCGCGCAAACUAGGGGAGCUACCCCUUCGGUUACAACCGAAACACCCAUGCCCCCGGACCGGAUGACUGGCUUUAAUCCAUGGCCAUGGGACCCUCAUCACGGCCUCUCUGUACGGUGUGUGCUAGAAAGGGGUUGACAACUUACUGAACCGUACCCUACCUAUGGCAGGGACAAGUGGUAGUACGAAGCAAGUGUGGGGGUUACUGGACAAGACUCGAUCUAAGGCCGACUCAGGAGGUUCAAGUGUUCCCUGCAUGAUUAGCAUAACAAAAAUAUUCCAAUAACAGAUAAGCUUAACACUCAUCAAGCUCCACCAUGCCAUACCGGGCAUACUCGUCUCAACGAGGGACUAGGGACAAGCUCGCGUCUACCCAAGACCGCGACUUUCCCGACUUCCUUCCGGCAUGCAUGAGAAGCUUACGAGGACGAUCACUAUCACCAGCAUAUCCAUUUAUAACAGCAAGGAAAACUCCAUUUUUCACUCAUGCGUAUGAUCUUACCGUCACAUAAAAUAGCGUAUGCUCCAAGUCAAGGUGAUGUUGUAACCGUAUCAACAACAUCCAAAAAUAUUAAGCCAGGGUUCAGAAUGCUUGCCUUCAAGUGUAUGCAUGUGGGGGUGCACUUUUUGAAGGUUGCCUUUUCUCCAAAAUCCUAUUUUGAGAAAUAUUCAAAUAACACACAUUUCAAAUACAGUACAAAAAGUUGUCCCAAAUAUUUUUGAAAUAAAUCUUAAAAUAAACUAGAUGAAAUUUGAGAGAGGUAGGAAAAAGAAUCAGCUCAUUUGGAGUUUUAUUUUAAAAGAUAUAGCCAGUCAAAGUUCUGUUUUUAAUAAAAUCAGAAAAAGAAAACGCUUCGGGGAGAAUACGCUUUCGAAGCAGAGGAGACGUACUCGGGAUUUUGCGCCAUCACUUAACCAGAGUGGAUGGGCGCGCGGGUCGCUGACAGUGGGUCCAGGGGGCCCACUGGUCAGGUUUGACUGGUCUUCCCUCCCUCCUCUCUCUCUGCCCGAACGGUGGCGGGCCUCCGGUGAUCGCCGUCGACGAACGGCGGCUCUUCGAGGGCACCUGAGGGCAGGGAUGGACCCGCCAGACCUGGGCGGUCCUCCCGGUGGUCGUUGGGCAGGUGGGGACGGAGGAAGUCACCGGCGGCGAGCUCCGCGGCGGACGGUGGUUCGGGAGCAAAGAGGGCUUCGGGCUAUGGUGGUCCUUGGUCGAGGCUGAGGCGCUAGGCAGCUCCGCAAGACUGUGGGGAGACGUUUGGUGGCGUUGGAUAGGCGGGGGAGGGUCCGGUUGCGACGCAUGGCACCGAGCUCGGCGGCGGCCGAACUGGCCGGAGACUAGGAAGGAAGCCCUUCCCCAUCGAUUGCUGGCUGCGGGAGUACUAUGGGGGUGUCCUGGGGUUGCCUGAGUGCUCAGAGGAGCUCGGGGCCUCCUUAUAUAGGCGCGACGGGGCUGGCUCCGCGGUGGUGGAUAAGAACGACGGCGAGUCGCCGUUCUGUAGCUGCAGGGCGUCGUGGCGGCGACGAGCGCGAGCCGACGAGCAUGUGGAUAGGAUCGGGCUGUUCCCAGGGGGCAGCUGGCGCGCGCGGGUGGCUUGGGCCGCGCCGUCCAUGGCAGAGCCCGCUGCCGACGCCGGCGUGCCGCCAAGGAAGCUCUGACGGCGGCGCUGUAGGGCGCCAGGGAGGCUUGGAGGUUUCUGACGAGUGGGCGAGUGCAUGGCGCGGCUCUGCAGGCGAGCAAGGGCCAGGGGUGUGACGCGGCGACCCGUGCGCACGCACGUGCAAAACGCGUGCUCUGGCCGCGCCCAGAGCACGCACACCAGGUGUUCGACGAAAAGCCAGCGCGCUCUAGAGAGCUUGGGUGAUGCGGGUAGUCAACAGGCCAGGGUUAGGGAUAGCUAGGAGGUUUGUGGACAUGCUGGAUGGGUCAGGGGCUCAAGUCCACAAUGCAAACUAGAAGACCUGCCAAAACUGUUCCUGCACACAGGGUGUUCUACAGAAUGCCAUGGGCAUCUAGGCAACUCUUGGGGUGGCCAAACUCUCCAGAUCCUAGUCUCUUUAGGAGCUCAAGAAGGUGGUAAGGUUAGUUUGGCAAAAACAGGAACUUGUUAGUGCAAGUUUUGAGAAAAUCAGUUUUGGGCAGAAACUAAAGGCUAUCAUUGCAUGCACUAAACAUACUCCAAUGGGUCCAAUCUCCUGGACUUAAGUGUUUGGUAGGGAGGACUAUAAGUAGGGAAAAAGCUGAUGGGUACUAGAGCAAAAUAAAAUGGGGUUGCAGUACAAAUCACCAAACUGGACCAGAAUGGAAAUGAAGAUGUUUCACUCAAAUCUUUCAUAGAACAACACUGGGUUUUUGCAUGAAGUUGCAUUAUGAGCAUCUACUGACAUCUCCAAACCCUUGGAAGAAUUUUUAGAAGAAUAUUUAAAUAGGUUGUAGUGCAAAAAUACCUACUGGACCAGAUUUGAAAAAAUUGAUGUAGAGCUCAAAUCUCCAAUAACCCAAAGAUAUUUUUGCAUAAAAGUGAUGUGGAAGCCUCACAUGACCUCCCCAAAUUUUGGUGAAAAUUUUAAAUGUAUUUAUCAAAAGGUUGCAGUGAAAAAGGGGCUCCAAAUUUAUGAAAGAUCAUUUUAAAAGAAUCAAGCUCAUGAAAAACAAUUAUGCAAAUAAAUCCACUGAUAAAGAAUUGUUUUUAUAAAGAGUGCAUACAAGUCCAAUAAUACUUUUGAAGAGUUUCCACUAAAGGUAAAAACCCACGAUAUUAAAGAGAAGAGGGGUUCUGAAAUCAAAGGAGAAAUCCAGAAAAAUAAAAAUUUAAUUUCCUGGCAAAAUUUUAAUUAAUAAAACAAGGUCAAAUUUUUGGGGUGUUACAACACUACCCCCCUUAAGAAAAAUCUCGUCCUCGAGAUUUGCUAAGGGUUGUUUUUUUUAAAUAAUACUCCCAUUAGUUGAAACCAAGAGUUUGCUCAUAGCACGAAUUUAGGGUACAAACAUAAGCUGCAACACACAAAUAAACAUAGCUAUGAUGUUUAUAAUGAAAAUGGCAAAAGGACAGGGUCCUGAGAAAACGUCUUUGGUACUGGGGCGCACAAGCAGACAUCCUUUAAUAAUGGUGAUACAGGAUCACACAAUUACAAGGCGUAGAAAAUAAUAAGGCUCGUUACUACUCGAGUGACUUAGUCUACUCCGUUAAUAUCUAAGCGGGCUUGCCUAGUGGACGAUGAAGCUUCUCCACGGGUUUCACCGUCGGGAUUAGCCGGAUGAGGUUGCGUGGCUGCUGGGUCGGGGUAGCGAUGAUGACCAUCGCGGGGGUUGUUGGCCACAACCCCGUUGGAGUGUGUUCCCAAAAGGCAGCGAAGCACUUCUGGGGACAUCAAAGUAUUUUGGUCGAUGGCUGGGGCAGACCUCAAGGGCUCGAUUGGGUGUCCGAACAGCACGACUGGGUUGUCGGCGUCGGGCUCCACUUCUCCUCUCGCCGAGGCUCGGCGAAACAGUUCUCCACGAGCUGCGAUCAGAUCAAGAGUGAUUUGAUCGAACAGCUCCUCUAGUGCACUUACAUAGCGCACCAGAUGCAAUAGUGCAGGAUCUGUCUCAUGAUCUCCGUUGGCAACCUGGGGUGGCCUACCAUACCCGUUACGACUGGGGUAGUAGUAGAACGAGCGACAGUUAACUCUGGGCGACAAGUGCCGGAGUUGAACUAUAGCUUCUCGAGCUGCCAGUUGGAUGGCUUGUGGCUCAAAGGAAGUGGUCCUUCCAGUGAACCUGUAGGGGCGUUCUGGCGAUAGACCCCUACCAUAAAUGUGUACAGUGGCCCAGAACUGACGGCUCUCACCGCCCAUGAGUUCUUGGUACACAACAUAUUCUGGGGGCUCUCCUAAUGCAUAGGCACGGCGAGUGAGGUUUGCGAGCACGGUCACAAAACCUCCAAGGUUGGUUGAUGUGGUCUCAUUGUGAACAAUGGGGCCAGGCAUCGUGACUUGGCUUGGGAAAGAGGCUGUGCUGUGCUGGGUUGAGGCUAGCGUGCCCUUUUUAUAGAAAAAGGGGCGGAGUCUUCCUUCGCACGCUUGCGAAUGAGACAAGUUAGGUGUCGGUCACUGGCGCGUGAUCGACAGGCUAAGCUGAUAGGUUGGGCACCGACUGCCAAAAGCGUCGGGGUCACUGUGUGGCUAUCUUACACGAGAAGCUUGGCCGGGGUUAGGUUAAGGUCUGGUGGGUUGGUUAACCUAGGUUUAUUGCCCUGGCUAAGAUAGGGUUAGCCAAUGGUCAGCCUGGUUCUGAUACCAAGUCUGUCAGGACCGGAUUUUUGGGAUAUUAAUUCUCCAGAAAAUGGCCCUUGUGCUCACCAGCCCCAGGAUUACUGUUAGCUGAUGAGGCACCAACUUGAUACAAGAAAUUCCAAGCAAGUACAAAAUAUGUAGUACAAGACCAUUGUGGCCUAUGAGUACAACACUUGGUUUCUAGUGGUUGAUGGCGGAAGCGGUUUGGGGUUCAUCUGCGUCUAUGGGACUCCAUUUCCCACAAGAACAGCUGACCAGGAUAACUCCUAUCUUCGCGAGGCUGCUAUCACCUUUACAUGGGUUCCGGGGCUGUCGUCGUAACGCUCUUCUCCACGCAAGAAAUCUGGCCAAGACAAUAGCCAGGGACAAGCCAGUGAGUAUGUUUGAAUGUACUCGCAAACAUUUAGAACAUGGCUAUAAUAUAACAAGGGGUAAUCAUGCUCCGAAAAUAUUCUAUGACCAUAACGUUAGUCACGAGAUAAACAAAAUUCAUGAUGCACACAUGCAAGUUAUUCAUGUAAAAUGCAUUACGGGAGUAGACAUAGAAUGCAUCGAUCGAGUGUCUGAAGCGACGCCUCGAAAGGAAAAAAAUCAUGCCUCAGUCGGGCGUCUGAGCGACACCACAUAAAGGGCUUAUAAAUAAAAGAAAUAACAAGCAUGCCACAGUCGGGCGUCUAUGCGACACCACAUAAAGGGCUUAUAAAUAAAAGAAAUAACAAGCAUGCCACAGUCGGGCGUCUAUGCGACACCACAUAAAGGGCUUAUAAAUAAAAG
rnacentral:lncRNA from 1 species